AAUAAGUACAGUUUUGCACUAUUCACGUUCAACGUUUGACCGUCCGUCUUAUUUGAAAAAUUUGUGAAAAAAUUAAAAACAUUUAGUCACACAUAAAGUACUAUUCAUGUUUUAUCAUCUAAUAGCAAUAAAAAUACUAAUCAUAAAAAAUUUUCAAAUAAGACGGACGGUCAAACGUUGAACGUGAAUAGUAUAAAACUGCACUUAUU
rnacentral:pre_miRNA from 1 species